CCAGGCUGCAGGCCUGUGAGGCUCCUCACUGCUGCAGGUAUGUGCUUAGCAGUAUUCUACUGAAUAUUCAAGAGAGACUGUCAGCAGAUCUCUGUGGUUCUCAUAUGCAGUUCUUCCCUCUCUCUGAUAGUCUAUCCUAUCAGUUCAAGCUGCCUUUUCCCCUGGAGUCUCAGCUUCAUUUUCUCAACUCAGCUAGUUUGCCAUGUUCUGCCUCAGUUUCAGUUUUCUGAGCUGUGGUCUGUAAACUCUCUCAAAGCAGUAUCCUAAGAAUUACCUCAUUUGCUACUCAUCUUUCAAGGAUCACAGUCUGUUGUGGAUGAAAUAUUUGUUUUCCCCAAAACUCAUAUAUUGAAACCCUACCAACAACCCUCUCGAAUGUGAUGGUAUUAGAAGAUGGGGACUUUGGGAGUUAACCAUUAUUGGAAGAAGGCAUGUAGGUAAGUCCUCAUGAAUGUGAUUUGUGUCCUUAAAAGAGCUAAGACUGAGCUUGCUUCUUUUCUCCAAUCUCUUCAAUAUGAAGAUAGAAUGAGAAGUCAAUAGUCUGUAACUCAGAAGAUGGUGCUUACUAGAAUCUGACCUGCUGGAAUCCUGAUAUUGGACUUCCAGCCUCCAGAACUAUGAAAAAUACAUUUUUGUUGUUUAUAAGCCACCGAUUUUAUGGUAUUUUGUUAUAAACAGCCUGUGCUGACUAAAAUAUUGUUCUUCAUUGCCUGACUCCAGUGUCUUGAAAAGUGUUGUUUCAUGUGUUCUUGUCUGAUUGUUAUUAUUGUUCCUUGAAAUCGCAGGACAAAUCCAGUCCUUGUUACUCUGUCUUGUCCAGAAGUGGCUUUCCAAAGGUUUUCGAUUAUUUUUGCAGGUUUGGCAUAACAUGACACAUAUAUUCCUAAAAAUCACGACACUAUGUAAUAUUAUGCAAUAAAAAUCCAUUAUGCUCAUGGGAAAAUGAGGUUAGGACCACAACACCAAAAACUUCUGAGAUAUUAAACAAAAAGAUAGGGAACCAAAUAAAAAUGGAAGUACAGUUUUUAACAUGUUAAAUGGUUAAUAAAUAUAUAAAUACUGUAAUACACAUGGCACUUUGUUUUGUAAAAGACCUGAGAUUGAUUGUGGGAGUGCAUGUUCAUUCUCCUGCAAGCCUGACCACCUCCUGCCCCCAAUGUGCUGCAUAGGUGAGGAAGAGAACAAAAGAGAUUUUUUUUUCCAGGAGAGAUUUUUAUAAAAAAAAGAAAUUGGAGAUAAAGAGAGAGAAAUAAUGGAGUAAUGGGGAAUAUAGAUAAAAAAGUACAAAUUGGCUGACAGGAAAGAGGAGAAAACUAAAAAGAGAAGGUGUGGGGAUUGAGCAGUCAAGAUAGACAUCUGAAAAUCUGCAAUUUGUGAAGUAUUGUGAAGUCUGGAAAGAGGGUUAUCUGAUGUAAGAUGGACAGUUGUAAUAACAGAUGUGGAUGUGCGUGAAUCAUUUCUCUUGAGGUAUGUGAGAGCAUGUGUUUUAUGUCUUACACCUCUUAGUUCAGCUGGGUACAGUCUUAUACUCACCUAGUGUUUGUUAGGUAUGAAACUGUGUUUAAGGAAAUACAAAAUACAUAUAAUGCUCAAAUUCUUCCAUAGUGUGUGAAUUGUAUAGGAAUAAAUCAUGUGUUCAGAAUAAACAUUAUAGAAAAAUAA